rnacentral:rRNA from 1 species
UGGGGAAUAUUGCGCAAUGGGGGGAACCCUGACGCAGCCAUGCCGCGUGAAUGAAGAAGGCCUUCGGGUUGUAAAGUUCUUUCGGUAUUGAGGAAGGUUGAUGUGUUAAUAGCACAUCAAAUUGACGUUAAAUACAGAAGAAGCACCGGCUAACUCCGUGCCAGCAGCCGCGGUAAUACGGAGGGUGCGAGCGUUAAUCGGAAUUACUGGGCGUAAAGCGCGCGUAGGUGGUUAUUUAAGUCAGAUGUGAAAGCCCCGGGCUUAACCUGGGAACUGCAUCUGAUACUGGAUAACUAGAGUAGGUGAGAGGGGAGUAGAAUUCCAGGUGUAGCGGUGAAAUGCGUAGAGAUCUGGAGGAAUACCGAUGGCGAAGGCAGCUCCCUGGCAUCAUACUGACACUGAGGUGCGAAAGCGUGGGUAGCAAACAGGAUUAGAUACCCUGGUAGUCCACGCUGUAAACGCUGUCGAUUUGGGGGUUGGGGUUUAACUCUGGCGCCCGUAGCUAACGUGAUAAAUCGACCGCCUGGGGAGUACGGCCGCAAGGUUA